UUAAGUGAGGGAACGGGCUGCUAUUUUCCACCAUGCCACAUAGUUAAUAUAAGUGGUUUCCGGGUGUUACUGCCCUUUGGACCUUUCAUCCCUAGCUGUAUCCACUUGUUAUUUCUUCCCUGCUUGAUGAGAAAGCUUCAAUUCAAUGAGGCCAAAGUUCAUCAAAUUCAGAGUCUGUAGGACAUGAUGUUUCGGAGCUUCUUGAUUCCAAAAGUUUGAUACUGGCUGAGCCUGGUUUAAAACUGUGAAAAGCUUGCCGAAUAUUUAUUCCAUAGAUCUAGUACUAAUCUCAAGUCCGGUGGGUAUGCUAGGGUGACCAUUUCUUACCAGCCUCAAAGACUUCAGAGCAAAGCUUCCAGGCUUGGGAAACUGAUGAUGUAUGCCCUUAUUUCCAUGCAUAUGGAAUUGAGAAAAUCCUAUGGACCUGAAGAGUCUGGUUUCCCUCAAUGGAUCAGAUGGGAAAACUUGAACUACUUCCUAGGGCACUAAAGGAUAUUGUUUUAGGCAGUGAAAGUAUAGAGCUUGGUGGAUGGCUGUCAUACAGGU